rnacentral:tRNA from 1 species
CCCGCCCCUGGACGAACGAACGGCGCUCCCGCUGCUUCGGAAGCAGCGAGAGCGCCGUUCGUGUCCUCGGGGUCCGGGC